ensembl:lncRNA
GAAAACCUAGACCCCAACCAUUGUGAGCGCGGGCUGAAAAAGCCCACGUCCUUUCUGGAGAUGAAAAGCGAGGACCAAGCAUAAUAUCCAGAAUAAGACCAAGAGGGAGGAGGAUGCAGCUCCGGUCCCUGUGUCUGACGCCACCAGAGAACCACCAGAGACCAGGAUGUCAAAGAAGAAGAAGACUUCCCGAGACCACCUGCCACACAGGAUGCAGAGAAGUUUCAUGAUGGCCCAACUAACACCAGUAGCCCCAAUACCAUCCCAAAGAGAAUGUGCCUUUUCCCAACCCUGUGAGUAAACAGAGUUACACGGUUCAAUUAAAUGAACAAUUCAUGAUUUGUGAGUGUGACUGUGCAUUUGACCACCUGCUUCAGGAUGUCUGAGCCAGACACAGUCCCUCUCUCUGAGCCAGACCCAGUCCCUCUCUCUGAGUCAGACCCAGUCCCUCUCUCUGAGCUAGAUCCAGUUCCUCUCUCUGAGCCAGAUCCAGUUCCAUCUCUCUGAGCCAGACCCAGUCCAUCUCUCUGAGCCAGACCCAGUCCAUCUCUCUGAGCCAGACCCAGUCCAUCUCUCUGAGCCAGACCCAGUCCAUCUCUCUGAGCCAGACCCAGUCCAUCUCUCUGAGCCAGACCCAGCCAGACCCAGUCCCUCUCUCUGAGCCAGACCCAGUCCCUCUCUCUGAGCCAGACCCAGUCCCUCUCUCUGAGCCAGACCCAGUCCCUCUCUAUGAGCCAGACCCAGUCCCUGUCUCUGAGCCAGACCCAGUAUUUCUCUCUGAGCCAGAUCCAGUCCCUCUCUCUGAGCCACAUCCAGUCCCUCUCUCUGAGCCACAUCCAGUCCCUCUCUCUGAGCCACAUCCAGUCCCUCUCUCUGAGCCAGACCCAGUCCCUCUCUCUGAGCCAGUCCCUCUCUCUGAGCCAGACCCAGUCCCUCUCUCUGAGCCAGACCCAGUCCCUCUCUCUGAGCCAGACCCAGUCCCAGUCCCCUCUCUGAGCCAGACCCAGUCCCUCUCUCUGAGCCAGACCCAGACCCAUUCCCUCUCUCUGAGCCAGACCCAUUCCCUCUCUCUGAGCCAGACCCAUUCCCUUUCUCUGAGCCAGACCCAGUCCCUCUCUGAGCCAGAUCCAGUCCCUCUCUGAUCCAGACACAGUCCCUUUCUCUGAGCCAGACCCAGUAUCUCUCUCUGAUCCAGCAGAGACCAGCAAGCCCCAGCAGAAGGCAGGAAUCUUCAACCCACCUGCCACAAAGUGACUGAAGAGGACCAGAAAGUUGGAGCCAGCCUCAGGCCUUCUCUCUGAGUCACCAGAAAGCAUGAAGUCAAAGGAAAUGGAGAUCCCAGGUCCACCUGCCCAAAGAGACUUAAGAGGACCAGGUCACUCUCCAGUUCUCAUAUUAUAGUCACACUAUUAUGUAGUGUUAUUAUAUUAUUAUGUAGUUGGAGCCAGCCCCUCUCUCUGAACUUCCAGACACCAGGAAGUCAAAGAAGAAGAAAAUAAUCCUUGGCCCACCUGCCAGUCAGCAAGUGAAGAGAUCCAGAUUUCCUCCCAGCCCCUGGACCACUAACCCAGUGAAGACUAGACGUAGGCCACCUUCAGCCACACCCCCUACCUGUGAGAUAGGUGUAACUACAUUUACCUUGAGAUCGAAGGUAGCGACAAGCCCUACCUUGAAGUCAGGUGUAGUCACAUCCCCAUCUAGCGGUGAAGCCUUUUCCACAUCCCCUGAGAGGAAGAACAGGAAGAGGGCUAGGUGCUGUCAUGACAUUGGCCUCUUUGGGUAUAGCAAGCCCAUCCCCCUCUCCCUGCCUCCACAGGUUGCUAUGGUCAGAGAGACAUCAUAAAUUCCUGAGAAUCUCCUUAUGGACACACAGUAUAGAGAGAGUAGAUUUUCAUGGAGAACAAAGUUAAUAAUUUCACCUCACAGAACUUGAGGUACACGACAAAUGUCAUGUUCCGGAGAAAGUAUAAAAGAUUGGUGAAGAAUCCAGCUACGAACUGGUCCGUUUGUCACAACUUGGGGUAGCUCAUGGGAGACGGUGUGGCCACAUUACCAUAACGCUGUUUAUAUAAUAGCCUCAGAUAUAAGGUUUACAUCUAAUUGUUGUAUAAGAUGAAUGAGUAGGUAUGAUACUGUUUGUAUAAUUGUGUAAUAUGAUUUUGGACUGUUUAAUGAAGAAAAAUACAAUUCCCUUUUGAUUUGAACUAAAUCAGAGGACCGCCCCUGAGCCCAGUUGGGGUCAGGCCUCCUGGGACAGCCCCUUUUCUGCCAUUCUAAAUAAAACCCAAUUUUGAGAAAUUGUCAGCAGACCGAGCUUACCUCAAUUACGAGAUGGCUAAAGGUUGCAGACCAUGUUUUUCUCCAUUAGGAGGACAAAGGUUGUAGACCAUUGCUGAAUCUUUUAACCAUACCACGUGGUUAAACUCUUAGACUAUCGAUACAGAAUAAGAACAAGUCUUUGAUAUUAAUUACUAGUCUGCAGCUAGGAAUUCGGUAUCAUUGAACGCGAAGAACGACAACCGCCAUAACACCCAUUCUAUAACGAAUGUCACUCUGAACAAUCCCCUUUAACCACAACCGAGAGAGCGAGGGAGAGAGACGGACAAUUCUACAAAAGAAAUUAACUUUUCACUAGCGAUCAACACGACACACUGAGCAGGGCCACCCAGGGCAGGAAGCCCUGUGUGUGGUGUAAAUGGGAGAAAGAGUGGAUGAACACCAUCUGGCAGUGUGAGGCCUGUCCCGUGGCCCUCUGUCUCAUACCGGGCAGAAACUGCUUCAGGACCUGGCACAAGACUCACAAGUGGAACGAGGAAGUCAUCUUCAGUCUGUUUUCUUAAAUGUUGUCAAAUAUGUGGGUCUGGAGCCUCAGCAUGAGAUGUUAGUGGUUUGUGGUCAAAAAGGCCCACUUUCAGUUCCUAGUUCAUACGGUUUUAGUAGAAUUCAGGCAUACAUACAUUAAAUAAGAAAUAUUUCCUUUGUGGGUGUUUUUGCAAAAAAAGGAAGUUUGAAAAGUUUGCUACAUUUUCUCAAAAGCCCUUUUCCUCAUGUUGUUUAAGUUGACAUAUUAAAUACAUUGUUAAAAAACAAAUAUGCCUCUUUCAAAUGUGUGCACUUUGUACAUUACUUUACAGUUCUUGUUCUUACAGCUAACCGUGGUCCAAACAGUAUCUUUCAAUGCUACUUACAAAGACAAGGGAACCCAAAAAACAACCAUGCACAGUGCCUUCAGAAAGUAUUCAUACCCCUCGACUUAUUCCACAUUGUGUUGUUACAGCCUGAAUUCAACAUGGAUUAAAUCAUUUUCUCACCCAUCUACACACAAUACCACAUAAUGACGAAAUGUGUUGUACUCCGUGAUGUGUUGGAUUUUCCCCAAACAUAACACUUUGUAUUCAUGGAAAAGUUCAUUUCGUUGCCACUUUUACUUUAGUGCCUUAUUUCAAACAGGAUGCAUGUUUUGGAAUAUUUGUAUUCUGUAAUUAAUGUUAGUAUUGUGGAGUAACUACAAUGUACAUCCUCAGUUCUCCUGUCCCAGGCAUUAAACUCUGUUUUAACGUCA